CCGGUCUAUCGAAGUGAAGGCGAAGUGGGUGAACCGAACCGAUCCAAAUUUUGGAACUAACCAUAGAAACGAACAAGAGAAAGAAGAAACGUCAGCAAUGGCGAUGGCAAUGCUUCUGUCUUCUCCAGCUUCAGCUUCACCGCCAACUGCACUCUCUCACCUCAACCGCCAGCAGCAAUCUUCAAUUUCAUGCAUUCAUCUACCUUCUCUCUCUCGCUCUUCACCGCCAUCGCUCUCACACACCUUCAAUCCCCUCAGGUCCUUCAUCGGUCACCAUGGAAUCACAAGCUUCGCCAAAUCCAAUACCGGUAACCGAAACGCAGCGUUUCGCAUCCUUUGUUAUGCUCCCGCUCCUCUCACUACUCCCAAUCUCCAAUGGAUCUCUACCGUUUCGUCAAUUGUUUUAAUACUGGCAAAAGGCACUGCGGUACCGAAAUCGUAUAUUGUUCCGCUGUUUGCGUUGCAAGCUCCUGCUGGUGUCGUUUCCUGGAUCAAAGGUAGAUAUGGUGUGUGGACGGCAUUCUUGGCACUUCUGAUUCGUCUAUUCUUCUAUAUUCCUGGUGAGCUUGAAUUGCCGUUUCUGGCAUUACUCUUGGUGAUGAUAGCUCCUUAUGAGGCUAUGAAAUUAAGGCACACAAAAGAAGGUGCCGUGGUUUCAUUGUUGAUUGCGGUGUAUUUGGCUUUCCAGCACUUCUCAAGAACAAGCUUACAGCAAUCAUUUGACCAAGGUGACGGGGUUAGAUGAACUGAUGUGAUUCUUGGACUCACGUUCAUUCAAUAAUUUUGUGAUGCACAUGAGCUACAGGUUUGUAAUGAAGAAAGUUGUCUCCCUUCUAAGUACGAUUCCUUUCCUAAGAAACUCUAAGCUAUUAUGCUGCUGCUUCUGCUGCCUUCUCCAACAGGAACUCUGAAUACUCUUGUCAUGCUUAUGUUGCCUAUUCUUACCCAAUCAAAUUCUCUAUCGCAUAACUUCUAUUA